rnacentral:rRNA from 1 species
UUAAAAAGGUCAAGCUACAAAGGGCGCAUGGUGAAUGCCUUGGCAUCAGGAGCCGAUGAAGGACGUGAUAAGCUGCGAUAAGCUUCGGGUAGGCGCACAUAGCCAGAGAUCCGGAGAUUUCCGAAUGGGGAAACCCGCAUGAGAAACCUCAUGCAUCGUAAAGUGAAUACAUAGCUUUAUGAAGGAACACCUAGGGAACUGAAACAUCUAAGUACCUAGAGGAAGAGAAAGAAAAAUCGAUUUUCUUAGUAGCGGCGAGCGAAAAGGAAAGAGCCCAAACCAGAGAUUUAUCUCUGGGGUUGCGGACAGAACAUAACGUGAAAUUAUGAUUAACCGAACACAACUGGAAAGUUGGACCGUAGGAGGUAAUAGUCCUGUAAGUAAAAGUCAUAAUGAUCAGUUCUGCACCAGAGUACCACGAGACACGUGAAACCUUGUGGGAAGCAGGGAGGACCACCUCCCAAGGCUAAAUACUACCUGAUGACCGAUAGUGAAGCAGUACCGUGAGGGAAAGGUGAAAAGAACCCCGGGAGGGGAGUG